UACGUAGGGUGCGAGCGUUAAUCGGAAUUACUGGGCGUAAAGCGUGCGCAGGCGGUCUGUUAAGACCGGUGUGAAAUCCCCGGGCUUAACCUGGGAAUGGCAUUUGGGACUGCAAGGCUGGAGUUUGGCAGAGGAGACUGGAAUUCCUGGUGUAGCAGUGAAGUGCGUAGAUAUCAGGAGGAACACCGAUGGCGAAGGCAGGUCUCUGGGCUAUAACUGACGCUCAUGCACGAAAGCGUGGGGAGCAAACAGG
rnacentral:rRNA from 1 species